GUCGCCUAGGCGACCGGCCUCGCGCGCUCCCGGGAGGCUCUGCGCCGCGCGGAAGCCUCGGCCCGCGCUUAGAUAAACAACCACCUGGGCCACCUAACACCACCCCAGCCCGCAAGCCGCGUCGAACCCUGCGGACCCUGCGUACUGAGCACGCGCGGUUCUUCCGCCCGGGACGGGGACCGCUUCGGCUUGAGCACGCCAAGUUCAGAAUUUGGCAGAGACGCGAUGUUGGCGGGGCGAGAGCAGUCUCUAGGUUUUAACUUGAGACGGGGAGUGACAAGAAGACACCGGCAAGGUCCAAAAGGAGGCCUUGGCAGGAGGGCCUUGCUAGACACCACCCAGCCUGUGAGCUUUGGUUUUGUCCUGUAUAAACAUAACGAAAAAAGGCUUUGUUUAAAGGACGAGCAUAAAACCGAAGUGAAGCUUUGUUUUAAGCGUCAAGACACAGAGGGAAAAGUGACAGGCCCUCAUCCAGCCCACUGCCAGAGGCGGCAAAGGCCAGCGACCGCGCGGAAACCGGGCCCACGCCCGGUGACGUCGCCGGGAGUCCCGCCCACCUCCCCCCAGCCCCGCCCUUCUUCAGCGUCUGCUAGAAGUCGAGCUCUUCCCACGCCCUCUCAGCUACGGGCGCUUGGAAAACCGGGAGAGCGAAGCCCCAGGCGCAGUCAGAAGGCCUGGGGACAGCUCAUAGCAACAGCCAGCCGGGGCACCUAGUAGGAAGCUGGGAGUCAUUCCAGCCAACCAGUGCACGUCUCUGGACCCAUGGUACCAUUCUCGGCCAAUAGAGAGCCACUUAAUACCACGUGAUGCCCACCCAUCAACCAAUGGGGGAAAAGCCUAGUUGCAGGCUCAGCCCUCCCACCUCCCACGCACGCUCUGCCAACCAACCGCAGGUGAGCUGGCGGAUGGCGGAGACUUGAGCUGAGCCAACCAGAAAUCGCGACUCCCUUGCCCCCAAGGGUGGGUGGAAUGGAGACGGUAGGGCUGGUGGAGUUUGGGAGGUGUCAGUGAUUGAGGGGACAGGUCGUUGCACCCUAUGCUGGCAAGGGAACAAGAUGUGUUGGAGGCGAGAACCAUGGGUUUCGCUUUUAACGUCGUCUCGGUGGCAUUCUGCCUAAAUGACGGACCCGGAAAUAGUGCUGAGUGAUGUGGGCUGAAUCGUGGGUCAAUCGAGAAAACAGGGACUCUUGUCUUGAGGGUUCUCAGAAGUUGAGAAGCUCUGGCUUGGAGUGCAUCUGAUAGAAGUUGUCAUGAAAAAAUAAUGAACCCCCAUCAAGAGCUGCUAAAGGAUUUCUCUUCCUUAUCAUUGAAACCCCGUCCAGCAAUGACUACAGCCGGAAAACUGCAAGAUGCCGAAUCUAGGGUCCCUGAAGCUACUCUCAGGGUUCAAGUAAUCAAAAAAGGGGAAAUCCCUGGACCAUGAGAAAAAUGGCACCACAGAAACUCUCGGAGUUCAGAUACGGAACUCAGUUAAAAAAGACAUGACAGAGGGAAUGAUGUUCACGGAAUUGUCAGAGAGAAGCUGGCUGUUUUGUUCGGAAACUCCAUUCCCAUGGGGUGUCUCUGAUGCUGCUGCAAGGUCACUCGAAAUAUCACGGCUCCAAAUGUGGGCCCAGGGUAACAGCCUAGGAAACGACGGUGACUCAGCACACCGACGUCCACCGCAACCAGCUUGGGUUUUCUGCACGGAGGAAUAAUUUCACCAGAGAUCAAGCCACAAGGUCAUGGCUGCACAACCUUGAGGGGGCCUUGCAAACCCGUUCCUCCUCUAGGACGAUGGGAAGUGGGGUGACUGAAUACUCUAGUUUUCCCAUAGGUGUCACCUGCUCUACAAAGAUAAGGUAAGUUUAUAACCAUCAAUUAGAAGAACUACAACAUUAAGACACUAAAACUUUCAUCUAAAGUCACAAUAGUAUUAUUUUUUGACAGCACAGAAAGAAGAUAAAGAAAAGAGGAAAAGGAGAGAAAUAGGGGAAGAGAUAAAGGGAAAGAAAUGAAAGGAGGGGAGGAGCAUAGAGUUUGAGGUGUUUCAGGUAUUGUUUCUUUUUCACUCCUCAAUCCUUAAUUAUCCUGAAAUCUUAGGAUCAUGCUCCAUCCUCUGAGCAUGCUCAUGGAUCAAAGAGUUUACAAAAAAUUUUUCUUUGGAAUUUACCGGGUAUUCUUAAUCUUGCGCUUAAUACUGAUAACAUGAACGACACAAAUAACAUAAACACAUAAUACAUAUAUUUAUAAAUGUCAUUGUCAGGGAAGAACUGCUAGUAAAAUUGUAAGUUAUGUUCUUCCCAGGCUCCACCCCCAACGUCGAUGUGCUUAACGUGGUGGUUCAUAUCUUGAUCCUUUGCGACAUCAUAGGAAGGGUCACUGACAUGACUCAAGCCUUGUGGGAGUCAGACGUACUCGGGAAAUAGAGUUUCACUGACCAGGGGCCAAGCGAGUUUAAAGGGUAGACGGAUCAAUCACAAAAUUACUCAUUGUUUCCUUCUAACUUUGGAGAGUUAUCCCACAUUCCAUCUUUAGCUCAUAAAAUGUACAAAAUAAAAGUUACUAAGAUGUUCCCACAGAUUCUGAGCAAGCCUCCCCCUAUGCGUGGAGUGACUUCAGGCUGAGACCGCAUGAGCGUAGACCAGCUAUCAGUCAUUCACCUGGGGGCUCUGUGUGCAGCCAACUUCAUUCCCGGUUUGAAUGAAUAGCAAGCUGCUUUGCCUAAGUCCUUGUGAAUCAUUUUUACAUAUGUCAUUGUCUACCAGUCCUGCUGGGAAGGACAACUUGUUCCCAACUCUGCGGAUUUAAUUUGCUUUCUAAACGACGCAGUCACGUACUGAACAUGAAAGCUUUAUGGGUCCACCAGGUGGAGCUCCAAACUCUUUUCCAGCCCCAUGAGAGGGCUCCGUAUUCACGGAGAUGGGCUUGAUGAAAACAGUAGAAAUGGGAGUUUAUAGUCUUUUCGUUGUGGGAGCCAUAUACUCCAGAUUGAACCUAACAUUGAGCAACGGUUUUAUGGUUUUCAAGAUUUACUGGGUAAAUAUUUAAACGAAUGCACAUUGAACGAACAUUCUAGAAUGAUCUAACAUAAAGCAGUGGCAUACAUAUAUACCACCUAACAACUGGAAUCAAGCUCUUUGAAAAAUCUAUCAAGCUCUUUAGACACCCAUAUGAAACACUCUAGUAAAUACCAUCAGAUACAGUAGUUAAGAUAAAUGGAGGACUCCCCUGAUUAAAGAGAAAUCUUACCCAGUAUAGUAUAGGUGAGUUGGUCUGACACAUGGCUUAAGAAUUAGGUUUUAUAAAUAUGUGAAUUUGUUUCCCUGACUCUUGUAAAAAUACUUGAAUUUAAGUUAAAGUACCUCAAAUCAACAAGGAAAAAUUCCCAGCCUCCAGCUCCCCUCGCUCACCUGCAUACCCCCUGGGCUGACAAACCAGAACACGACUAGGUCUCAACUUUCUGCAAUAGGACCACAGCACCUGGUCAGUAGUCCCAGACCUGCUUCCUCCCACCCCAUCUCUGAGCGUCUCUCUGGCCCUGGCUGCCGGCCUACGAACCUGCUUGUUCCCAGACCUUUCGGGAUCCAGCAAAGGUGAAUGUCUGGCACAGCUGGAGGCCUUCGGGCGCCACUCCACGCCCGCGUUGUGACUGAUUCAGUGUUCCAUGUGUUGUUACACAUUUUGCCCCUCAACACACAGUCCACACAACAGAUUUGUGUUUGUAGUAAAUGAAUUCUUUUCCCUUUUCAGGCUACUUUAUACUCGGCCUUACAGUCAAAGGACAGAAUGAGGAAUGCAUGAUUCAUUUGCGGUGGAUGUGUGUGGAUGGCUGUUUCCUAAGACUGAAUAUCUUGCAAACAUUCUCUCACAAAGAACUAUACUUCGACCGCAAAUACAUCUCAGAGCACAAAAAUAAUUGAAGUACCUCCAGUUUGUCAGUCCUGAGAAGUUUCUGAGUUGCAGUUGAGCCCGGGACAGUGACAGGUGGACUUCCGGGAACAAU